rnacentral:rRNA from 1 species
AUUGAACGCUGGCGGCAUGCCUUACACAUGCAAGUCGAACGGCAGCACGGGGCAACCUGGUGGCGAGUGGCGAACGGGUGAGUAAUGCAUCGGAACGUACCUUUCAGUGGGGGAUAACGUAGCGAAAGUUACGCUAAUACCGCAUAUUCUGUGAGCAGGAAAGCAGGGGAUCGCAAGACCUUGCGCUGAUUGAGCGGCCGAUGUCAGAUUAGCUAGUUGGUGAGGUAAAGGCUCACCAAGGCGACGAUCUGUAGCGGGUCUGAGAGAAUGAUCCGCCACACUGGAACUGAGACACGGUCCAGACUCCUACGGGAGGCAGCAGUGGGGAACUUUGGACAAUGGGGGCAACCCUGAUCCAGCCAUGCCGCGUGAGUGAAGAAGGCCUUCGGGUUGUAAAGCUCUUUCGGCCGGGAAGAAAUCGCACGGGCUAAUACCCUGUGUGGAUGACGGUACCGGAAUAAGAAGCACCGGCUAACUCCGUGCCAGCCGCCGCGGUAA